rnacentral:RNase_P_RNA from 1 species
CCGGGCAAUUGCUAACCCGAAACAUCCGGGUUGGAGGAAAGUCCGAACUUCAUAGAACAGGGUGCCGGGUAACGCCCGGGGGUUAUGGGCGAAAGCUCAUGGCUACUGCCAGUGCCGCAGAAAAUAUACCGCCCCGGUAAUACGGGGUAAGGGUGAAAAGGCGGGGUAAAAGCCCACCGCUGCGGUGGUAACACCGGAGGCACGGUAAACCACACCCGAAGCAAGAUCAAAUAGGGAGAUCGUUUUCCCGGUAAUUCCGGGAGACGGGGUUGUUCGCUCCGAUGGUCUCCGGGUAGAUCGCUUAAUCCCGCUGGUAACAGCAGGAUGAGAUAAAUGAUUGCCCCUACUACGUUAAAACUUCGUAGAGCAGGAUCCUCAAAUAAGAACCUAUUCUACGAAGCUUAACUUCAAUUAAGCGUAGGAGGACAGAAUUCGGCUUACAGGGC